GCCAACAGCCAUACUACGCUGAAUACACCGGUUCUCGUCCAAUCACCGAAGUUAAGCAGCGUUAGGCGCGGUUAGUU
rnacentral:rRNA from 1 species